GGAAAUAUGAAGAAAUCACUCCACCAAAGGCGGUUGAUUUCUGUCACAUUACUGAUAACACCUAUGAGUUGAAAGAGGUUAUAAAAAUGGAAGCUGAAAUACUUAAGUCACUAAACUUUGAAAUGGGCAAUCCUCAUGUUAACACAUUUCUAAAUGAGUUUAUUGGGUUUGCAACUGAGAAUCAAAAGACUUCAAAAUUGCAAAUGGAGUUUCUAUGCAAUUACCUUGCUGAGCUAAGCUUGUUGGACUAUGAAUGUAUACGAUUCUUG